rnacentral:tRNA from 1 species
GCGGGCAUUGUUCAGUGGCAGAACGGUAGCCUUCCAAGCUACAUACACGAGUUCGAAUCUCGUUGCCCGCUCAA